rnacentral:rRNA from 1 species
GUGUCAGCCGCCGCGGUAAUACGGGGGGAGCGAACGUUGUUCGGAAUCACUGGGCGUAAAGGGCGUGCAGGCGGCUCGAUAAGUGGAAGGUGAAAUGCCCUGGCUCAACCAGGGAACUGCCUUCCAUACUGUCGAGCUUGAGUGCGGGAGAGGAUGGGAGAAUUCCCGGUGUAGCGGUGGAAUGCAUUGAUAUCGGGAGGAAUACCAGUGGCGAAGGCGCCCAUCUGGCCCGACACUGACGCUCAGGCGCGAAAGCUAGGGGAGCAAACAGGAUUAGAUACCCCGGUAGUCC